AUGCACCCACGUCUGCUCCUCUUUGCACAGGGCCUAAAGGAGGUGGGGACCCGGUGCGGUGUCCCUGAGCAGCAGUUGGACGUCCCUGAGCUGAGCAUGCCUGAGCCGACGUCGCAGGGCACGGAAAAGAAGCGUGCAGAGAAGGUGGGAGCAAAGGGCAGCGCCGCGGUGCCUGCAGUCCCCAAGAGCCUCCCCGUGAAAGCAAAGGUGGAGCCCCACAGCCUGGACCCUGCGGAGGAGCCGCUCAUCUGGGAAGGGCUCACCCUCAACAAGUGCAUCCUGGUGGCCUCCAUUGUCGCCCUGCUCAGCGUCAGCUUCCAGGUGCUCCAAGCUCCACCAUGCCCCAGGGACGGUGUCAGCAGUGGCAAGCAAGAGCCCCCAGCAGCUCCCAUCCACGAGGUCAUCAUCCCCAAGGAGGAGGUCCCAGAGGUAGUGGCUCCACAACCCAUCCCGCCUGAGAGCAGCAUGCCAGAGGAUGACGAUGGUGAUGAUGAUGGUGAUGACGAUGAUGACGACGAAGCGGACAGCAACCUGGCCGAGCCCUGGAUCUUCAAGAAGUGGUUUGGCCGCUCGGAGCCGGGACAUAAGGAGGAAGAGCCUGGAGAAGAGGAGGAAGAGCCCACAGAGAAACCUGAGGAGCCAAUAGCCAAAGUGGAGCUGAGGAAGGGCCAGGAGAAACCACGGAGCCCAGAGAAGAAAGAGGAGAAGGCCCGAGGUCUGGAGAAGGAGGAGAAAACUCGAGGCCCAGAGAAGAAGGAGGAGAGAAAGGAGGAGAAGGAGGAAGAGAAGAAGGAGGAGAAGGAAGAGAAGAAAGAGAAGAAGGAGGAGAAGGAAGAGAAGAAAGAGAAGAAGGAGGAGAAGAAGGAAGAGAAGAAAGAAGAGAAGAAGGAAAAAGAGGAGGAGAAGGAGGAGGAAGAGGAGGAGGAGGAAGAGGAGAAGGAGGAGGAGAAGGAGGAGAGACCGCGUGGCCCAAAGAAGGAGGAGAGGCCCAAGGAGGGCCGUGCAGCCCCAGCAGAGAGGAGCAGCCGUCGGGAGCCGCGUCCCAAGGACAGGAGCCCCGAGGAGAAGCCCCCCAGAGCCCCCCGGGCACACAGGGAGCCUGAGCAGCAGCAGCACAAGAAGAGACGCCGUGAGGGGAAGGAGAGCCGGAGGGAGAAGGAUGAGCAGCGCAGGGAUGGCAGCAAGGGCAGAGCGGGCAGAGCCGAGCGGCAGGAGAGCGGCCGGAGGAACUGGGGGCUGCCACGGGGCGAGCAGCGGGGCAGGAGGGCCGGGGAGCCAAAGGGGAGGGACAGGGCACGAGAGGGCCGGCGGCGUGACUGAAGGCUGCGAGGGACCGACUGGGCCCAGCCCCACAGAGACACAGCCACCAUCUGUCUGCUGGACCCCUCUGCUGCCACCACGCCUUCAGCCUUUGUCCCCAUGCCCAGAGUGGCUGCAAGCAAAGUGGGGACACUGGGGUCCUGCUGUACCUAUGGGACAUUGGGACCUGCUGUGCCAAUGGAGACAUUGGGGUCCUGCUCUGCUGAUGGGGACACUGAGAUCUGCUGUGCCCAUGGGAACAUAGGGGCACUGCUGUGCUGAUGGGGACACUGGGGUCCUGCUGUGCUGAUGGGGACAUUGGGACCUGCUGUGCCCACUGAGACAUUGGGGUCCUGCUCUGAUGGUGGGGUUCAUCUGUGCCCAUGAGUGACUGAGUCCUGCUGUUUCCAUGGUGACACUGAGUUCUGCUUUGCCAACGGGGACAACGAGUCCUGCCAUGCCUGUGGGGACAUCAGCCACCCAGCCCAGCAUCUGUGGGGACUCUAGGACUUCCCAGGAUGAAGGCAGCCCACAGGGAGUGUGGAAAUGAGCUCUGCUCCCCCUGGGCUUCGUGCCAUUGGGCUCCAUCCCCAGCUGCUGCAGCAGCUCGUUGUCUCCCAUGCUGACACCUAAGGAGCAAGGAUGCAUUCCUGGCAAACAGAGGGGUCUGCAGCCCUGGUAGCUCUUGAAUUCAGUGAAUGGUUUUAUUGAAAAACAAAUCAAAGAGAGAAGUGUGUUUUGGGUGAAGGAAGCCAAGCUGCCCUCGGAGCGUGGACACAUGGCCCCAGUGUAGGAGGCCCAAAGCUUCGGAACCAAAGCUCAGGUCCUGCCCCGCAGAGCUGCUUUUAGGGAGAAAGCACACGAGCAUUACCACACAGUGCUGCAGCAACUGCAGGAGACCCCGACUGCAGCGAGUUUGAGUAUUCGCUAAACCAAUAGUGGUUAAAACAAACUGAU
ensembl:lncRNA